ACUGGAGAAGAAACAGCAACUCAUUUCUGUAGCACGGUCAGAUCUGUCAAUCGCUUUUCUCACACCAGCCCCAGGAGACAAGGAGCACAAGUCUUAUAAGCCCCAUUUCACAAAUGAGAAAAGUGGGGCUUACUGGAAAGAAGUGACUUGCCCAGGAUGAGAGGCAGGACUUAAAUUUGGCUCCCUCUGGCUCUAAGAUGAAGAAAAUGAGCCCCACAGUGAUUAAGUGACUUGCCCAAGAUUACAAAAGCUAAUGAGUUCAGAGGCUACUCUAAACCUAGGUUUCUUCAUUUCAAGGUACAAUAAUAACUGGAAGCCACCAAAUGAUUUCUGAGCAAGGCAAUAACAUAGUUAAGCCUGUCAGAAGACAUUAUUUUGACAGUUGUGUGAAAGACUGAUUGAAGAGGAGAAAAGCAGGAAAAACCAACUAGGAAGAUACAGUGAUCACUCACCGAUUGUAGGAGUUACAUUCCAGAGACCCCUGCGAUAGGUGAAAAUCUACAAAGUAGCAGUGUUUUGUUUAUUUUGUUAUAUAUAUAUUUUAAGGCUUUAUAAACCCUUCCCACUCUCUUAUAAACCUUUUCCACACUCAUAUUAACCUACAGUCACUGUGUGCAUCAGUGCUCAGGAUUCAGAACACAAUGCUGUAGUUGGUCACCUUUCAUUCCAUCAGCCAAUAGUGUGUUGUGAUAGGUGUAAUUCCAUGACACAGAAUUAUAUAUAUAUGUAUAUAUGUGUGUAUAUAUAUAUAUAUAUUUUUUUUAACUGCAAUACAGUGAAACCACGAUAAGUGAACCUGAUAUAGUGAGGGAUGACUACUACUUCCUAACUAGUGAGAUAAUAAAGUGUUGAACUGGGGUAGUGACCCUGUGAAUCAGAUCAGAAACUGUUGUGCAAGUCAAAUUGAUGAGACUUAGUAACAGAAUGCACAUGAGGGAAUACAUAGAGGAGAGGAGCCAACUUUGAAGUUACAAACCUGUGUAACUAGAAAGACAGUGGUGCUGCUCAAAAGAAAGGGGGGGAGAGGGGGCAGAACCAGGUAGGUGGCUCAGUGCAGAAAGAGCCAGGCCUAGAAAUGGGAGGCCCUGGGUUCAAAUCUGGCUCCAGCACUUCCUAGCUGUGUGACCCUGGGCAAGUCACUUAGUCCAAAUGCCUAGUUUUUAUUGCUCUUAGUAGCAAUUCUAAAAAAGAAGGUUGUUUGGUUUUUUUGUUGUGGUUGUUUUUAAGAGAAAUGGGAAAAUUUGAAGUAGGACAAGAAUAGAGGGAAAGAAAAGGAAUUCCACCUCAGACAUGCCGAGUUUGAAAUGUCAAUGGAACUUCCAAAUAGAAAUGUCUAUCAGUCAGCUGGUGCAUCAGCUGGUGCAUUAACUAGCUGGGUAGUUAAGAAAGCACCUAGGUUGGAUUAUAUAGAUCUAGGAGUCAUCUGGCACAGAGAUGAUAAUCAGACCCCCAGGAACUGAUGAGAUUACCAAGGGAGGGCAAAGAACAGGGCCCAAGACAGAAUGCUCACACAGAAGAUGGGAGAAAGAUGAUGAUCCAGCAAAGGAGAGUAAAAGGAACAAGAGAAGCGCAGUAUUGUGAAAAACAAUGAAGUAUUAAAGAGUUGGUUGGUAGUGACAGCCAAGAGAUUUGAAAAGGAUUAAACAAAGAAAAAGUCUUUAGAAUUAGCAAUUAAACAAUAUGAUCUGGGCCAUACAUGCAAGUGGGGGGAGGGAAGGGAGGGCAGGAGAUGGCUUGGAUCUUAUAAUUUUGGAAAACAUAUGUCCAAAAUAAUUAUUACAUGUAAUUGGAAAAAUAAAAUAUCUUUGAAUAAAAAAAGAAUUAGCAAUUAAAAGAUCAUUUUUAAUCUUGUAGAGGGCAGUUUCAGUUGAGUGUUAGAAUUAAAAACUAGAUUGGAAGAGGUUGUGAAGUGAGUGGGAAGUGGAGAAACACAGGCAAUGGAGAUGAUUUUUUUCCUUGAAGUUUGGAAGAGAAGGAGAGAUUAUAAAACAACCAGAAGUGAAGUCGUGUAUGGGUAUAAAUGAAAACAAAAUAAGAACUACAAAUGAAAUUAUGUGUAUCUGUAUCUGUAAGAACAGAAAACCUGGGGGGAGCUGGGUAGCUCAGUGGAUUGAGAGCCAGGCCUAGAGAUGGGAGGUCUUGGGUUCAAAUCAGAUCUCAGACACUUCCCAGUUGUGUGACCUUGGGCAAGUCACUUGACCCCCAUUGCCUAGGCCUUACCACUCUUCUGCCUUGGAGCCAAUACACAGAUUGACUCCAAGAGGGAAGGGAAGGGAAGGGUUUUCAAAAGAAAAAAAUAGAAAACCUGAGGCACAAUAAGAGACCACUGGAUUCAAGGUUCAAAUCUGGCCUCAGGCACUUACUAGCUGGGUGCCCCUGGGCAAAUCAUUUAACCCUAAUUGCCUAGCUCUUGCUCUACAGUCUUACAAUUGAUAAAAAGACAGAAGAUAUUGGUUUAAGAAGGAAAAAAAGGAAAACCUGGCCACAUCUUUAGGCAGGUAGUCUGGAUAAAAAGGAGAGAGCCUAAAAUAUGAGACUAGAAGAAAAAGGAUGGAGUAACCUCUUGGAGAAGAUGGAUAUAUAGGUUCAAUGAUACAUGUUAGCCUUGGUCAGAGAUCACAGCAAAGAAGAGAAUGGGAACCCAUGUUUUGCAGUGUCCAGUGAGGACCAGGAACAAUUUUCUCAUUCAGCUCGGGUAAAUGCCAGACAGACAAGUCGGUGACUUAAAGGCUUUCAUUUUCUUAGCAAAGUAGGAGGCAACGGUCACCUAUGCUAAAAAGGAAGAAGCAUCCAGGGCAAAGGCUUGGGCAGAGAUUGCCACAGGCCUUUUGGGAAAUGCAAAGGAGUCCAGCAAAGAAUAAAAAUCGAUUGCACCGCAAAGAUGGUUGACAUCAGAAAGCUCAACUGUGUAUACCUCCAGUGGCUCUCCCCACCUCCAUCCCCUCCAGAAUGGAGGAAGGGGGGGUGUAGGAGUGGAGGACAGAAAUAACACCUUGGAGGGACGUUAGGAAAGGCCUCAUACUCCUACAGAAGGUGGCACCUGAGCUAUUCUUGAAGGUUUUGGAUACUAAAGGCACGUCAGGAGAAAGAAUGACCGGCAUGUGGGGAGGGGAGGGCAGCCUUGGAAAAGACCAAGAGGCUGGAAACCGAACGCUAAGUGUAAGAAGGGCCAUGAGGCCGCCCGGGGGAGUGGGGAAGGCUUCGAGGUGAGCCAGGUGAGGACACACUCAGCGCGCGUUAAGUUCCAGCCGAUCCCGUCUUUUAAGGGAGAGGUAGGAAGGGGAGCCGCUGAGGAUCCUCGAGCCAGGGCCGUGCCCUCAUGCGCUCGGCAAUUCGGUCACGAAGGAGACCGCUCCCUCCCCUCGACCGCCCUACCCUCUCCAGACCCGCUCACCCCGCCGUGUCCGUGAGUUUCUGCCCGGGCCCCGCGCUCUUGAACUUGA